UACGUAGGUGGCAAGCGUUGUCCGGAUUUACUGGGCGUAAAGAGCUCGUAGGUGGUUUGUCGCGUUGUUCGUGAAAACUCACAGCUUAACUGUGGGCGUGCGGGCGAUACGGGCAGACUGGAGUACUGCAGGGGAGACUGGAAUUCCUGGUGUAGCGGUGGAAUGCGCAGAUAUCAGGAGGAACACCGGUGGCGAAGGCGGGUCGCUGGGCAGUAACUGACGCUGAGGAGCGAAAGCGUGGGGAGCGAACAGG
rnacentral:rRNA from 1 species